CUAUCCCUAGUUUCGGUUACUAAAGAUAGACAAAUCUAUAUUUUUGUCCUUACUUACGUUCCAAUAACCUAUCGACGGGCAGCAGUUCCUUUCGGAUUUAUCUAUCCAUCGUCGGGAGGACGGAUAGCCUGCUAAAGAUAGAACGCUCAUACAAAUCGUGCUUACUUCCGUUUCAAUAUGAGUUUUAAGUAACUCUCCGGUAGGCGGCGCUAUCUCUAGUAUGGGCAUUCGCUUAUCUGUCAAAAUCGGCCGGUUACAUGUUUAUCUUUCGAAAGUAAAUCGCUAUAAUUUAAUAAUUGUUUCUCUUCAUAUUGGCAUAUUGUAGCAGUGAUGAUAGUGAUAUGGAAUUAUUUCAAAUGAUAAUGGAUUGUGAUGCAGAUUGUGAUAGUGAGACCGAUAUCAUAUGGUUAGGAAAAUAAAGAUCGUCUGAAUUACAUGGCGAAGAUCAAUAAUUACGAAUUUGACUAUAGAUUUCUGAGCAAAGGUGUUGUGAAUGAAUUGAUUAAUUUAAUGAGACCAUAUUUGAGUGUAACGUCAAAAAGAUUCAAAUAUAGGAGAGGAAUUUAGAAACAGAAAAAGGGUAUUUUGAAUGUGUAAUUUAUGUGCAAUGCAUCAUUGAUGUUUCAAAAUGUUGUUGCUUGAUGGCCUGGGUCUACUCAUGAUACAACUAUAAUUAACCAUUCCGAUUGAAAAGAUGCAUUGGUGUUUGUAAAAGAAGACUCCCUGUAUAUCAUUGAAAAGUAGAUUUAAACUAGAAAAUAUGCAAGCUGUUAUUAUAGCUGCCAUGCUGCAUAAUAUCGUCAGAAGUAUGAAUUUAGAAUAAUUAGAAUCAGAAAUUUCAGUCGCAGAUACAUUACAGGAAAAUAAUAUAAUUGUUCGUAACAAUUUUUCAAAACUUACAUCUGAAAUACAACUAUGUACUUAUAAAUAAUUGCUUCCAAAGAUAAUUUAUAAAAUAAACUCCAAAGAUAA